rnacentral:rRNA from 1 species
CCUACGGGGUGCAGCAGUGGGGAAUAUUGCGCAAUGGGCGAAAGCCUGACGCAGCGACGCCGCGUGAGGGAUGAAGGUCUUCGGAUCGUAAACCCCUGUCAGCAGGGAAGAACGGUCACUGUGUUAAUCAGCAGCUAAUUGACGGUACCUGCAAAGGAAGCACCGGCUAACUCCGUGCCAGCAGCCGCGGUAAUACGGAGGGUGCGAGCGUUAAUCGGAAUUACUGGGCGUAAGGGGUGCGUAGAUGGCAUAGUAAGUCUAUUGUAAAAAUGCUGGGCUCAACCCAGUAGGGCAAACGAUACUGGAAAGCUAGAGUAUGACAGAGGCAAGUGGAACUACAGGUGUAGCGGUGAAAUGCGUAGAUAUAUGUAAGAACACCAGUGGCGAAGGCGGCUUGCUGGGUCGAUACUGACGUUGAGGCACGAAAGCGUGGGGAGCAAACAGGAUUAGAUACCCGUGUAGUC